rnacentral:rRNA from 1 species
UACGGAGGAUGCAAGCGUUAUCCGGAUUCAUUGGGUUUAAAGGGUGCGUAGGCGGAAUACUAAGUCAGUAGUGAAAUCCUGCAGCUUAACUGUAGAACUGUUAUUGAUACUGGUAUUCUUGAAUGCAGUUGAGGUAGGCGGAAUGUGUAAUGUAGCGGUGAAAUGCUUAGAUAUUACACAGAACACCGAUUGCGAAGGCAGCUUACUAAACUGUGAUUGACGCUGAGGCACGAAAGCGUGGGGAGCAAACAGGAUUAGAUACCCUGGUAGUCCACGCCGUAAACUAUGAUCACUCGCUGUUGGCGAUAAAUUGUCAGCGGCUGAGCGAAAGCAUUAAGUGAUCCACCUGGGGAGUACGAUCGCAAGGUUG